UCCUGUUUGGUAUAUGCUGGGAAUGAGCAUUGACAGUGGAGCUAGUAUACGGGAGCUCACCAAACUGUGUGUCUGUUGGUGUGCUUUCACAGAAAUAAACAUCCAUCUCAGCAACUGUUGUCCACGGGUCACAUAUAUUAAUACACAACGCAGAAGUUACAUCAUAUAUAUAUGAUAGUUAAACUUUCCUAUGUUGUUAUUAUGUAUAAUCCAUUGUAUGCUUGUGUAAGAGACACAAGUGUAAUGCUGAAAGAAUGUGUUCUGUGAAACGCUCUUGCUGCAAUAAACACAUACUGAUUUCAUGCUUGUGCGAGACAUAUUCUGAGCUAAAGGCCAGUUGUGGUUGAAACCACACCAGCACUUGUAUAAAAGC